GGAAUGCUUACACAUGCAAGUCGAGCGGCAGCGCGGGGCAACCUGGCGGCGAGCGGCGAACGGGUGAGUAAUGCAUCGGAACAUGUCCAUGUCGUGGGGGAUAGCCCGGCGAAAGCCGGAUUAAUACCGCAUACGCCCGAGAGGGGAAAGUGGGGGACCGCAAGGCCUCACGCGAUUGGGUUGGCCGAUGUCCGAUUAGCUAGUUGGCGGGGUAAGAGCCCACCAAGGCGAUGAUCGGUAGCUGGUCUGAGAGGAUGAUCAGCCACACUGGGACUGAGACACGGCCCAGACUCCUACGGGAGGCAGCAGUGGGGAAUUUUGGACAAUGGGGGCAACCCUGAUCCAGCCAUUCCGCGUGAGUGAAGAAGGCCUUCGGGUUGUAAAGCUCUUUUGUCCGGAACGAAACGGUUAGCGUGAAUAUCGCUGACUACUGACGGUACCGGAAGAAUAAGCACCGGCUAACUACGUGCCAGCAGCCGCGGUAAUACGUAGGGUGCGAGCGUUAAUCGGAAUUACUGGGCGUAAAGCGUGCGCAGGCGGUUUUGUAAGCCAGAUGUGAAAUCCCCGGGCUCA
rnacentral:rRNA from 1 species